rnacentral:rRNA from 1 species
GACGAACGCUGGCGGCGUGCCUAAUACAUGCAAGUAGAACGCACAGGAUGCACCGUAGUUUACUACACCGUAUUCUGUGAGUUGCGAACGGGUGAGUAACGCGUAGGUAACCUGCCUGGUAGCGGGGGAUAACUAUUGGAAACGAUAGCUAAUACCGCAUAAGAACAUUUACUGCAUGGUAGAUGUUUAAAAGGUGCAAAUGCAUCACUACCAGAUGGACCUGCGUUGUAUUAGCUAGUUGGUGAGGUAACGGCUCACCAAGGCAACGAUACAUAGCCGACCUGAGAGGGUGAUCGGCCACACUGGGACUGAGACACGGCCCAGACUCCUACGGGAGGCAGCAGUAGGGAAUCUUCGGCAAUGGGGGGAACCCUGACCGAGCAACGCCGCGUGAGUGAAGAAGGUUUUCGGAUCGUAAAGCUCUGUUGUUAAGGAAGAACGUGUGUGAGAGUGGAAAGUUCACACAGUGACGGUACUUAACCAGAAAGGGACGGCUAACUACGUGCCAGCAGCCGCGGUAAUACGUAGGUCCCGAGCGUUGUCCGGAUUUAUUGGGCGUAAAGCGAGCGCAGGCGGUUAGAUAAGUCUGAAGUGAAGGGCAGUGGCUCAACCAUUGUAGGCUUUGGAAACUGUUUAACUUGAGUGCAAGAGGGGAGAGUGGAAUUCCAUGUGUAGCGGUGAAAUGCGUAGAUAUAUGGAGGAACACCGGUGGCGAAAGCGGCUCUCUGGCUUGUAACUGACGCUGAGGCUCGAAAGCGUGGGGAGCAAACAGG